CUUGCUCUGUCUGAUCAGUGGCGAACGGGUGAGUAACACGUGAGUAACCUGCCCCCGACUCUGGAAUAACCGUGGGAAACGACGGCUAAUACCGGAUAUGAGACGCACGGGCAUCUGUGUGUCUGGAAAGAUUUAUCGGUCAGGGAUGGACUCGCGGCCUAUCAGCUUGUUGGUGGGGUAAUGGCCCACCAAGGCGACGACGGGUAGCCGGCCUGAGAGGGCGACCGGCCACACUGGGACUGAGAUACGGCCCAGACUCCUACGGGAGGCAGCAGUGGGGAAUAUUGCACAAUGGGCGCAAGCCUGAUGCAGCGACGCCGCGUGAGGGAUGAAGGCCUUCGGGUUGUAAACCUCUUUCAGCAGGGAAGAAGCGAAAGUGACGGUACCUGCAGAAGAAGCGCCGGCUAACUACGUGCCAGCAGCCGCGGUAAUACGUAGGGCGCAAGCGUUGUCCGGAAUUAUUGGGCGUAAAGAGCUCGUAGGCGGUUUGUCGCGUCUGCUGUGAAAACCUGAGGCUCAACCUCGGGCUUGCAGUGGGUACGGGCAGACUAGAGUGCGGUAGGGGUGACUGGAAUUCCUGGUGUAGCGGUGGAAUGCGCAGAUAUCAGGAGGAACACCGAUGGCGAAGGCAGGUCACUGGGCCGCAACUGACGCUGAGGAGCGAAAGCAUGGGGAGCGAACAGGAUUAGAUACCCUGGUAGUCCAUGCCGUA
rnacentral:rRNA from 1 species